GUAAGACGUGUCGGAAAGAUUCAAACUCAUAUUAAAUUCUCGUAAGUGAAAUACAGAUUAACGUGCAAAAGCUAUGCUUAAAGGAUUCGAAAUUCAACAAGAAUAAGUUAUCACUAUAAUAAAACAGUUGGUAAAAAGAACUUUACUUCCUAAUUUUAAUUUCUCGACUUUAAAGUCGCAGAGAAUAUCGAGAUUAAAACGACACAAUGAAAGUAAUGAAAGCGUUCCAUGUUUUCGUAAUAAUUAUAAUAACGUAUAACCUAAUAUCACUUGGAAUGUCAAAAAAAAUCCAUCCAGCAAGACAUCUUCUGUCUACGGCCGACAUAGGAAUGUCCAAAAGAAUAUCUUCUGCAACACAGCUUCAGUCUAUGACUGACAUAAAAGUAUCAGAAGGAAUAUUUCCAGCAACACAGCUUCCAUCUACGACCAACAUAGGAAUGUCAAAAAGAGUCCGUUCAACAACACAAUUUCCGUCUACGAUCAACAUAGAAAUGUCAGAAAGAGUCCGUCCAACAACAUGUCUUCCGUCUACGACCGACACAGGAAUGUCAGAAAAGGCACCUCCAACAACACAGCUUCCGUCUACGACCAACAUAAAAAUGUCAAAAAGAAUCCGUUCAACAACAUGUCUUCCGUCUACGACUGACGUAGGAAUGCUAGAAAAAGUACCUCCAGUAGCACAGCUUCCGUCUACAACGGAUAUAGGAACGUCAGAAAAAAUAACUCCAACAACACAGCUUCCGUCUACGACCGACAUAGGAAUGUUAGAAAGUACAACUCCAACAACAUACCAUUUUUUUACGCCCUAUUCUCUAUCUAAAUUUUUUGGAAAUAUACGUGUUAUUAUAGACACCCCGCAAUUUAACGUAGUGACCUGCCCAACAGGGCAACUAACAGAUCCACGCGGAAUGUGUCGCAACAGGGAAUAGAGACAAGCAGGGGGUCUAAAUAUUUGAGGCUUGUCACAAAAAUUAUCAAAAUACGACGAUGCAACACGCACUGUCUGAUAUAUAUUUUUUGAUAGUUGACGAGAAACCGCAGACGCUAGAAUCAUUGGAUAACGCUAAUGUUAUUGGGUGGAAAGAUGAAAUUACAUAUGCGUGUCGUUCACAAUGACACUAGAGGCGUGCAAUUUGUUAUUCUGCUCCCGCUCGUUCCCGACUGCUCAUGCUGGCGACUCCCGAUGCUGUCGCUGCUCCACAAUGAGUGGAGAAGAUAGAAGCGACGGGAGCUCAUCGGGAAUGAGCUCGAUUUAUCUCGGUCGAAACUGCCGAGUCUCGAGAUUCCCGACUACUCCCGACUCCCGACUAAUCCCGAAACCAACGAAAUGUAGCUUAAAGAUAUGAAAACCGUGCUUCUGACCGAUUCCGAUACUUUUAUAAACCAGUGUCGUUUUACAGAUUUUGCAUUGCACAAAACCAACAGAAACAUUAGUCUGACUAUCAACUAGUAUCAACGUGUCAACGUAUAUACAACGUAUAUCUAUAGUAAUAUACGUAUACAGGGAAAAUGGAAGUAAAAAAGAAUGUUUUAAAGUGAAUAUGUCAUAUUUCUAUACACUCUAUGAUAUUUUUUUCGAAGGGUGAAUUUCUUUGGAGUACGUACGUAUAAACGUAUAUAAAGUUAUUCCAACAAUCACUACUUUUAUCUGUGCCAGGCUUUUCUAUUAAUCAAAUACGUCCAUUUUUAUCUUUUUCGCUAGUUCACUUUUUGUAAAAGAAGACAUUUUUAUGUUAUAUAUAUUGAGCGCUAUACCGUGCGAAUUCUUAAACUCUAAUGUGAUGAUAUUUUCCGCCACACGAGUAUGCGCAUUGUCUGUGUAGAUCAGUAAGAAAUACGAUACAUCGUUACUGCGGCGAAAGAUUUCGAUUCUCGCCAUAUGCCGAUUCUUGACGUGCGCUUGUUUUUCAGAUUUGCGUGUCUAAGAAACAAGCGCACGUGCGGCGAGAAUCAAAGUCUUUUGCCGCAAUAAUGACGUAUCUUAUUUGCAGGGAAGUAA